rnacentral:rRNA from 1 species
CCUACGGGUGGCAGCAGUGGGGAAUAUUGGACAAUGGGCGAAAGCCUGAUCCAGCCAUGCCGCGUGUGUGAAGAAGGCCUUCGGGUUGUAAAGCACUUUCAGUGGGGAAGAAAGCCUUGGGGCUAAUACCCUCGAGGAAGGACAUCACCCACAGAAGAAGCACCGGCUAACUCCGUGCCAGCAGCCGGGUAAUACGGAGGGUGCGAGCGUUAAUCGGAAUUACUGGGCGUAAAGCGCGCGUAGGCGGUCUGAUAAGCCGGUUGUGAAAGCCCCGGGCUCAACCUGGGAACGGCAUCCGGAACUGUCAGGCUAGAGUGCAGGAGAGGAAGGUAGAAUUCCCGGUGUAGCGGUGAAAUGCGUAGAGAUCGGGAGGAAUACCAGUGGCGAAGGCGGCCUUCUGGACUGACACUGACGCUGAGGUGCGAAAGCGUGGGUAGCAAACAGGAUUAGAUACCCCUGUAGUC